GGAAGGUUGACCGAGUGGUUUAAGGUGCCGGUCUUGAAAACCGGUGUGGGGCAACUCACCGAGGGUUCGAAUCCCUCACCUUCCGCCA
rnacentral:tRNA from 1 species